rnacentral:rRNA from 1 species
GAAGUUGGAGUCGCUAGUAAUCGCAGAUCAGCAACGCUGCGGUGAAUACGUUCCCGGGCCUUGUACACACCGCCCGUCACGUCAUGAAAGUCGGUAACACCCGAAGCCGGUGGCCUAACCCCUCGUGGGAGGGAGCCGUCGAAGGUGGGAUUGGCGAUUGGGACGAAGUCGUAACAAGGUAGCCGUACCGGAAGGUGCGGCUGGAUCACCUCCUUU